AGUGCACGCUGGCGGUAGGCCUAACACAUGCAAGUCGAACGGCAGCACAGUAAGAGCUUGCUCUUACGGGUGGCGAGUGGCGGACGGGUGAGGAAUACAUCGGAAUCUACUUUUUCGUGGGGGAUAACGUAGGGAAACUUACGCUAAUACCGCAUACGACCUACGGGUGAAAGCAGGGGAUCUUCGGACCUUGCGCGAUUGAAUGAGCCGAUGUCGGAUUAGCUAGUUGGCGGGGUAAAGGCCCACCAAGGCGACGAUCCGUAGCUGGUCUGAGAGGAUGAUCAGCCACACUGGAACUGAGACACGGUCCAGACUCCUACGGGAGGCAGCAGUGGGGAAUAUUGGACAAAGGGCGCAAGCCUGAUCCAGCCAUACCGCGUGGGUGAAGAAGGCCUUCGGGUUGUAAAGCCCUUUUGUUGGGAAAGAAAAGCAGCAGGUUAAUACCCCGCUGUUCUGACGGUACCCAAAGAAUAAGCACCGGCUAACUUCGUG
rnacentral:rRNA from 1 species